rnacentral:rRNA from 1 species
CAGCAGCCGCGGGAAUACGAAGGGUGCAAGCGUUACUCGGAAUUACUGGGCGUAAAGCGUGCGUAGGUGGUGGUUUAAGUCCGUUGUGAAAGCCCUGGGCACAACCUGGGAAUUGCAGUGGAUACUGGGUCACUAGAGUGUGGUAGAGGAUAGUGGAAUUUCCGGUGUAGCAGUGAAAUGCGUAGAGAUCGGAAGGAACAUCUGUGGCGAAGGCGACUAUCUGGGCCAACACUGACACUGAGGCACGAAAGCGUGGGGAGCAAACAGGAUUAGAUACCCCAGUAGUCCCUGUCUCUUAUAC